CAAGUCGAACGCUCGCAAGAGAGUGGCGCACGGGUGAGGAACACGUAGCUGACCUGCCCCGAAGUUCGGGAUAACGUCACGAAAGAGACGCUAAUACCGAAUAACCUCGCUAGGACUAGCAGAUAGCGAGCAAAGGUUUACUGCUUUGGGAGGGGGCUGCGGCCCAUCAGGUAGUUGGUGUGGUAACGGCACACCAAGCCAACGACGGGUCGGGGGUCUGAGAGGACGACCCCCCACACUGGGACUGAGACACGGCCCAGACUCCUACGGGAGGCAGCAGUGAGGGAUAUUGCGCAAUGGGGGAAACCCUGACGCAGCGACGUCGCGUGGGCGAAGAAGGCCUUCGGGUUGUAAAGCCCUUUUUUGGGUGACGAGCAAGGACGGUAGCCCAAGAAUAAGUCUCGGCUAACUACGUGCCAGCAGCCGCGGUAAAACGUAGGAGGCGAGCGUUAUCCGGAGUUACUGGGCGUAAAGCGCGCGCAGGCGGUUGGAUAAGUGGAUUGUCAAAGACGCAGGCUAAACCUGGGGAAGGCAGUUCAGACUGUCUGGCUAGAGCCAUCUAGAGGGACGCGGAAUUCGGGGUGUAGCGGUGAAAUGUGUAGAGAUCCCGAGGAACACCAGCGGUGAAGACGGCGUCCUGGGGGUGAGCUGACGCUGAGGCGCGAAGGCGUGGGGAGCAAACAGGAUUAGAGACCCUGGUAGUCCACGCGGUAAACGAUGUCGACUAGACGUUCACUCCUUCGGGAGGGAGUGUCGAAGCAAACGCGGUAAGUCGACCGCCUGGGGAGUACGGUCGCAAGGCUAAAACUCAAAGGAAUUGACGG
rnacentral:rRNA from 1 species